CAUUUGCAUAGGAAUCACAAUAAGUCAUUAGAAAAGAUGAGCCUUCCUAAUCCAGAUGGGCAGCAAAAUCAUAAGGAAAAUGUGCUACUCUAUGUUUAUAUUCUCUCAGAGGUUCCCUCUCCAACACACAUGUAAACAAACAUCAUUAUUCAUAAAAUGGGAUUUAAAUAGAAUUGGAAUCGAUGCAAGCUUACCUCCAAAAAUUUGAGGCAGUUAUUUAAUAUUUAGUACUAUUUAAUAUUUAAAUCUGUGCAGGGGGAAAAACACUUAUAGGAAACCCUUUAAAGAAGGGGGUCAAAAGAGCUGGGAACUUAAGGGCCUUAUUCAGUGAAAGGGCUGAAUUACAAGUGCUCUAAACCUGCUGUGAUGGAGGCAUACUAGUCCCAGGCUGACGAAGAAGGAUAGCCAAGUUCCAGCCUAGCGUGGCAACUUAGACCCUAUCUCAAGAUAAAAAAUAAAACUGCCGGAGGUGUAGUUCAGUGGUAGAGAUGCUUCCCUAGCAUUUGUGGGUCCCUGGGUUCAGUCCCCAGAGCCUGGCCAACAUUUCUUGACUACUAAAUUCCACACACUGCUAACUUGGAGCCUGGAAUACAAACAUGAACACUGCAUCAUGGACCUUAACUCUAACCCUAACUUCCAACUCUAAUAUUCCUAAAAGGGAGCUAACGCUUACAGAGCUAGAGGAGGCUACAAAACGUGUCCUCUGGGCUUUCAAAACCAACACGGUAGUUCAAGCACAACAACUUUAUGAGGUAUAUUCUCUUCUGUUGAAAACAAGGCUACGGCCUCUCAGAUCUGUACCCGAACAGGACUAAUUUAUUCAUACAAAUAAAACCAUGUAGCACUUUAGCUGUGGGCAGCUAACCGUGGUAAUGACUAACCAAGAUCUGGCUGCUCUCAAAAGCGAUCCCACAGAUCAGAUCAAUGGUGCCAAACCUACGGCAUGCGUGCGGCAGCGGAGUGUAUCAUUGCAAGCUCUAAAAGGUCCAUCACUAGGGGCCGAGGAUUUAGCUCAGUGGUUUUGCCGCCUGCUGCGCAAGCUCAAGGACCUGAGUUCGAUCCCCGGUACCUAAAAAAAUUUAAAAAAUUAAAAAAAAAAAAAGGUCCAUCACUGGAACAGACCAAGAUACCUGAAAACAACUGGCUAUUAAAUCUGACCUAAAAGCACGUCACGGGUUGUUUGCUAAAGCUAGAUGGAUCUGCUCCCUACCGCAAAGCCGUACCAGUCCAGACGCAGGGACCCUAGAGGCUCUCUGCAGGAGUGGCUUCGGUCCUGCAAGGGUGCAGACUACCGCAGAGACUCCAGACACCUCGCGGGCCAAACAGCGUGGCCUGCCCCGCUCCUCCUCCCCAUCGCGUCGCACGGGGCACUCACCACUAGCCCGCUGUGCCCGUCCAGCUCCGACUGAGACACGCAGAGGGCCGCCACACAGCCAAACUAAGGACCCCUUCGUUUCUCCAAGAUUUGAAUGGAGACCAAACAGAGCAAGAAAAACCCAAGGAGAGACCCUGCCCAUGAGGGUCUAGUGGAGGAGCAU
rnacentral:lncRNA from 1 species